CUGGCAGCACCCACGGGCACCCGGCACCUGCCUCACCACCACCGUCUCCCUCCAUCCUCAUACCCACCACCUGCCCAAGGCCACAGGGAGAGCAGACAGGGCAGAGGACUCCUAACCCGGGCUGGGGGGCCCGCAGCAGAGGACCACAAACGAAGUGACACGUCUCACGUCCAGAGACACCAGCUCUCAUGUGUCAGCAGCAUCUCCUUCCAUCUCAGCCAACGUUUCGGUGGAAGCACAACCCCCUUUCCUUGCAUUUCUGCAGAUGAACGACUACUUGGGGGCCUGACGGAAGACUGUGUGGACGGAGGAGCUAAGGCUCUGCAGCCACCCAGAGCUGGAUUCUAAGCCCACCUUGGUCACCUGGGAGCUUGGCGGCCAGAGGCAGAGAACGUUCCCCCAAGACCAAUGUGCAAGCAAGCCACUGCGUCCUCAGCCCGCAUCCUUCACGGCCCCCCGCUCCCGGAGGUCCCCCAGCGCUGGCCCGGCUUCCCGUACCCCCUCUCUCCGCUCCCUGCAAUGCCCU